rnacentral:rRNA from 1 species
ACUCCUACGGGAGGCAGCAGUGGGGAAUAUUGCACAAUGGGCGCAAGCCUGAUGCAGCCAUGCCGCGUGUAUGAAGAAGGCCUUCGGGUUGUAAAGUACUUUCAGCGGGGAGGAAGGCAAUACGGUUAAUAACCGUGUUGAUUGACGUUACCCGCAGAAGAAGCACCGGCUAACUCCGUGCCAGCAGCCGCGGUAAUACGGAGGGUGCAAGCGUUAAUCGGAAUUACUGGGCGUAAAGCGCACGCAGGCGGUCUGUCAAGUCGGAUGUAAAUCCCCGGGCUCAACCUGGGAACUGCAUUCGAAACUGGCAGGCUUGAGUCUUGUAGAGGGGGGUAGAAUUCCAGGUGUAGCGGUGAAAUGCGUAGAGAUCUGGAGGAAUACCGGUGGCGAAGGCGGCCCCCUGGACAAAGACUGACGCUCAGGUGCGAAAGCGUGGGGAGCAAACAGGAUUAGAAACCCCGGUAGUCCCAU